rnacentral:rRNA from 1 species
UUCUUGGUCAUUUAGAGGAAGUAAAAGUCGUAACAAGGUUUCCGUAGGUGAACCUGCGGAAGGAUCAUUAAAGAAAUUUAAUAAUUUUGAAAAUGGAUUUUUUUGUUUUGGCAAGAGCAUGAGAGCUUUUACUGGGCAAGAAGACAAGAGAUGGAGAGUCCAGCCGGGCCUGCGCUUAAGUGCGCGGUCUUGCUAGGCUUGUAAGUUUCUUUCUUGCUAUUCCAAACGGUGAGAGAUUUCUGUGCUUUUGUUAUAGGACAAUUAAAACCGUUUCAAUACAACACACUGUGGAGUUUUCAUAUCUUUGCAACUUUUUCUUUGGGCAUUCGAGCAAUCGGGGCCCAGAGGUAACAAACACAAACAAUUUUAUCUAUUCAUUAAAUUUUUGUCAAAAACAAGAAUUUUCGUAUCUGGAAAUUUUAAAAUAUUAAAAACUUUCAACAACGGAUCUCUUGGUUCUCGCAUCGAUGAAGAACGCAGCGAAAUGCGAUACGUAAUGUGAAUUGCAGAAUUCCGUGAAUCAUCGAAUCUUUGAACGCACAUUGCGCCCCUUGGUAUUCCAGGGGGCAUGCCUGUUUGAGCGUCAUUUCCUUCUCAAACAUUCUGUUUGGUAGUGAGUGAUACUCUUUGGAGUUAACUUGAAAUUGCUGGCCUUUUCAUUGGAUGUUUUUUUUCCAAAGAGAGGUUUCUCUGCGUGCUUGAGGUAUAAUGCAAGUACGGUCGUUUUAGGUUUUACCAACUGCGGCUAAUCUUUUUUUAUACUGAGCGUAUUGGAACGUUAUCGAUAAGAAGAGAGCGUCUAGGCGAACAAUGUUCUUAAAGUUUGACCUCAAAUCAGGUAGGAGUACCCGCUGAACUUAAGCAUAUCAAUAAGCGGAGGAA